rnacentral:tRNA from 2 species
GGUGAGGUGGCCGAGUGGUUUAAGGCGCACGCCUGGAACGCGUGUAUAGGGGAAACUCUAUCGAGGGUUCGAAUCCCUCCCUCACCGCCA